GGGCCCGCACAAGCGGUGGAGUAUGUGGUUUAAUUCGACGCAACGCGAAGAACCUUACCAGGCCUUGACAUCCCUUGCAAAGCUGUAGAGAUACAGCAGAGGUUAUCAGGGUGACAGGUGGUGCAUGGUUGUCGUCAGCUCGUGUCGUGAGAUGUUGGGUUAAGUCCCGCAACGAGCGCAACCCUUGUCUUCAGUUACCAGCAUUCAGUUGGGGACUCUGGAGAGACUGCCGGUGAUAAACCGGAGGAAGGUGGGGAUGACGUCAAAUCAUCAUGCCCCUUAUGGCCUGGGCUACACACGUACUACAAUGGCUGCUACAACGAGACGCAACAACGCGAGUUGAAGCAAAUCUCUUAAAGGCAGUCUCAGUUCGGAUUGAAGUCUGCAACCCGACUUCAUGAAGCUGGAAUCGCUAGUAAUCGCGGAUCAGCAUGCCGCGGUGAAUACGUUCUCGGGCCUU
rnacentral:rRNA from 1 species